GGAGAGGUGGCUGAGUGGCUGAAAGCGGCGGAUUGCUAAUCCGUUGUCCUGGUGUAAACCGGGACCGGGGGUUCGAAUCCCCCCCUCUCCGCCA
rnacentral:tRNA from 1 species